GACAAGCUGAGGAUCCAAACAGAUAUUGACUGACUUAAACAAUGAGCCCUAUCCAACAGCAUGAAAAUUAAUGUGUAGGAAACCAAAGCUUUACCAUUAGG